rnacentral:rRNA from 1 species
GUCAUUUCGCUUCUUCCCUGCUGAAAGAGGUUUACAACCCGAAGGCCGUCAUCCCUCACGCGGCGUCGCUGCAUCAGGCUUUCGCCCAUUGUGCAAUAUUCCCCACUGCUGCCUCCCGUAGGAGUCUGGGCCGUGUCUCAGUCCCAGUGUGGCCGGUCGCCCUCUCAGGCCGGCUACCCGUCGUCGCCUUGGUAGGCCAUUACCCCACCAACAAGCUGAUAGGCCGCGGGCUCAUCCUUCACCGCCGGAGCUUUUAACCCCGUCCCAUGCGGGACAGAGUGUUAUCCGGUAUUAGACCCCGUUUCCAGGGCUUGUCCCAGAGUGAAGGGCAGAUUGCCCACGUGUUACUCACCCGUUCGCCACUAAUCCACCCCGAAAGGCUUCAUCGUUCGACUUGCAUGUGUUAAGCACGCCGCCAGCGUUCGUCCUGAGCCAGGAUUCAAACUCUAAA